GGGGGUAUGGUGUAAUCCGGUAGCAUAGCCGGCUCCAAACCGGCUGAUCUGGGUUCAAAUCCCAGUACCCCCA
rnacentral:tRNA from 1 species